CUUAGGAACUCAGUUGGCACUCAGAGGCCUCCAUAAAUCCACAGACAGCUUCCCUGCCUUUCCCUUACAAGUGUAAUCCACUGCUUACUGAUUGACUUGUCAUCUCCAUGGAAGAUGUACCUCUCUAGGCCUGACCCUUCUCUGGAGGGGAAAACACUUCUUUCCCGCAUCAGAUGUUUCUUAAAGUAUGGAGGGGGUGCCACUAACAUAACACUCGAUACCUCAUUCCAGCGCUUCUAACAAGUUUCCUGAUGUGGCAUUCUGGGAACAAAACCUACCCUUUACCAGUGGCCCCACGAGAUUCCACAAAGGAGGUGAAAUCAGUAUUGAAGUGGCCUUAUGAAGAUGGGAGCAGGACUACCCUAACUGACUGCUGACUUCUUACCCAAGGGGGAUAACCAUGUCCUAAGGUGAUCUCAGCGGGACCCACGCUGUGGUUAUAAGUGAACAAGGUGUGUUCACGGAGUUGAUACAAACAACACAGGAUCUGGCAUCGGACAUCCUGCACACCAAAAUCUGCCUUACCAUAUAUUAAUGGAGUGACUUGGCGAAGCUACUUAACUUCCUUCAGCUUCAGUUUCUUCAUUUGUAAAAUAGGAAUGAAAACAUCUUCCCCAGAGAUUGCACAUGAAGAUGAAGUGAGGAGGUCCUGGUAAGGAAUGUGGAACCAACAAGCUACUACCAACCAGAAGAAUUCAGGAAAGGUCAAAAGGAGAGAGGAGAAUCCAGUCCAUGUGUCCUGCCAACCUCCCAGAAUCCUUCUCGCUGGACUCCAUCUUGGCUGAGUGAUGUGCGUGCCACCACGAAGGGCCCUGAGUAAGAAUGAUUGGCCAGAGACAACCCGGAAACUAACCCCAUUCCCAUAAUACCCGAGACUGUGAGCCACAUGGCAGAGCAGUCCUCUGGGGUUCCCUAACCCUCCUGCUCUCCACUCGGGUGCCCCUUCCCAAUAAAGUCUCUUGCUUUGUCAGCAAGUGUGUCUCAGACAGUUCAUUUCUGAGUGUUAGACAAGAGCCCACUC